UUGUAUAUUUUCCAAAAACCCCCUUAGUUAUUACUUUAUUCUGAUUUUGGACAAAAACUAUUCAAUUAAUCUUUUUUUUGUUUUCUUUUUCUCUCGGCUACCAUCUCUUUUCUUCUGACAAACCAAAAACCUCAGCUCUCCUUCUACCCAUAUGGGAAACACAAAAAAUAAUAGUAGUCAAAACUUUUUAACUAGACCACAGAGCGAGGAGAGAGAGAGA
rnacentral:lncRNA from 1 species